GAUGAAGAACGCAGCGAAAUGCGAUAAGUAAUGUGAAUUGCAGAAUUCAGUGAAUCAUCGAAUCUUUGAACGCACAUUGCGCCCGCUAGUAUUCUGGCGGGCAUGCCUGUCCGAGCGUCAUUUCAACCCUAAAGCCCCCGGGCUUGGUGUUGGGGAUCGGCGAGCCUCCGCGCCCGCCGUCCCCUAAAUCUAGUGGCGGUCUCGCUGUAGCUUCCUCUGCGUAGUAGCACACCUCGCACUGGGAAACAGCGCGGCCACGCCGUUAAACCCCCAACUUCUGAACGUUUGACCUCGGAUCAGGUAGGAAUACCCGCUGAACUUAAGCAUAUCAAUAAGCGGAGGA
rnacentral:misc_RNA from 1 species